rnacentral:rRNA from 1 species
CCUGGCUCAGGAUGAACGCUAGCUACAGGCUUAACACAUGCAAGUCGAGGGGUAACAUGAUUGGAGCUUGCUCCGAUUGAUGACGACCGGCGCACGGGUGAGUAACGCGUAUCCAACCUGCCCCAUGCUCAGGGGUAACCUUCCGAAAGGGAGCCUAAUACCUGAUGUUGUGCUUUGAUGGCAUCAGACGAGCACGAAAGAUUCAUCGGCAUGGGAUGGGGAUGCGUCUGAUUAGCUUGUUGGCGGGGUAACGGCCCACCAAGGCUACGAUCAGUAGGGGUUCUGAGAGGAAGGUCCCCCACACUGGUACUGAGACGCGGACCAGACUCCUACGGGAGGCAGCAGUGAGGAAUAUUGGUCAAUGGGCGGGAGCCUGAACCAGCCAAGUAGCGUGCAGGAAGACGGCCCUACGGGUUGUAAACUGCUUUUAUGAGGGGAUAAAGUGGGCUACGUGUAGCUUAUUGCAGGUACCUCAUGAAUAAGGACCGGCUAAUUCCGUGCCAGCCGCUGC